rnacentral:sRNA from 1 species
GCAAUCCGCCUGCGCGCUGGGCGGGGCGGGGUGUGAGCCGACCGCGGGCGCUGGGCGGGUCCGCGGCGCGGUCGGUCGGCGCCUAUUCUCGGGCUGUUUGGCGGACGAAGCUUCACAAAAGAUGUCUAAGCAACAGCCAACUCAGUUUAUAAAUCCAGAAACACCUGGCUAUGUUGGAUUUGCAAAUCUCCCCAAUCAAGUUCACCGAAAAUCAGUGAAAAAAGGUUUUGAGUUCACACUGAUGGUGGUCGGUGAAUCAGGUCUAGGAAAAUCGACUCUCAUAAACAGCCUAUUCCUAACUGAUCUGUACCCAGAAAGAGUCAUACCUGGAGCAGCAGGUAAAAACAUUCUUAUGUUACUGUAAGUGUAAUUCUACAUGAAAGAUGCUGAAGACUGCCUAAUUAAUAUUUUAUUUCUUAGCUGUGUGUUUUGUUUGUUCUUGUUCAGCUUUGAACACAAGGAAAACACUUUUAUGGGGUAGGUGUGCUGCACUGAGGUCCUUGGAUAUUUGGGUUGUAGACUUUCUUUGACACGUAUCCAUGGAUCCAUCCUCUCUUGAGUUUAUUUUGUCUGUAAAAUGUAAUAAGUAGUUUCUGCCUAUAUUAAAUAUUUGAUGGAAGGAUUAAGUGAGAAUGUUUUACAUCAAAAAUGCUGUGUAACUAGAAGAUUACUAGGAUAGAUGUUGGAAUUCAUCUACUGCCAGAAAGUUCCAGCACAGGACACCAGCAUCCA